rnacentral:rRNA from 1 species
CACGUAGGCGGACUAUCAAGCGUCUUGUGAAAGCCCUCGGCUCAACCGAGGAACUGCUGGGCGAACUGAUAGUCUUGAGGCAGGUAGGGGCGAGUAGAACUCUUGGUGGAGCGGUGGAAUGCGUAGAUAUCAAGAGGAAUGCCGGAGGCGAAGGCGACUCGCUGGGCCUGUCCUGACGCUGAGGUGCGAAAGCUAGGGGAGCAAACG